UGUCUCUCACCCAUGAGGCUGUUGGAUGCUUUUCUUCCACAGCCAGGGCAAGAGACCAAAAGCAUUCUGGAGGUCUGUCGUCGGGGCUGUCCUAAGCUAAGGCUGCCACGUUUUCCUGCCUCAGACACUU
ensembl:scaRNA